rnacentral:misc_RNA from 1 species
GGAAGUAAAAUCGUAACAAGGUUUCCGUAGGUGAACCUGCGGAAGGAUCAUUAUUGUAUAACCGAGGUGCGAGGGCUGUCGCUGACCCGAAAGGUCGUGCACACCCGAGUGCCCUCACACACAUCCAUCUCACCCCUAUGUGCACCACCGCGUGGGUCCCCCUUUGGCUUGUUCGGAGGGGGGCUUACGUUUUCACACAAACUUUGUAUGCAGUGUAGAAUGUAUUUUUUGUUUUUGCGAUCACGCAAUCAAUACAACUUUCAACAACGGAUCUCUUGGCUCUC